CGAAUUCACCUACCAGAAACUUUGGUGUCCUCUACGACUCGCGCACGUACGUGUUAAUUCUUGUGGAAUUUUCCAUCAUUGAAAGCAACUUUAAGUAUUAGUUUGGUGUGGUUUGUGAAAUCUUAUCUUCUCUACGUUACAGCUUGCUUUUUGGUACAGAACAGUCGCAGGUAGUAAUAGAAUGACUCCAAGAACUUUCCUGGUCAUCCUGCUAUGUGUUGCCGUUGUCGGCAUGGUGGUCGCGGUCGUGAGCGCUGAAGGAGAGGAUGGUGCGCCCUCUAGCGGACUGCUGGAGAUGCUCUUCUCUCUUAAAACUAAGGACACUGGAGAAGAAGCUCGCAGAAGCGGAUGGCCACCUUGGCAUUGCCCCCCUAGAUGCGGAACUGGGCGUUGAAAGAGGAGCGGGUGGCAUGGCUUAUUUUUCUGGUGUUUUUUUUUUUGGGGGGGGGGUUGUGUUUUGUAAUUCCAUAUAUUCUAAUUCAAUUGCAUUCUUUAAAAACAAAUUGUACCUGAAAACUCUUGUACACGAUAGAAAUAUUAUGUAAACAAUGGUAUACUUACAAAGUUGUUAUGAUUAUUUUUAAUACAAAAACAUUGUCGUGUAAUCAGGGGAAGGGUUUUCGGAUAUAAUAAUCAGGAUAUUGAUGUAAUUAUUUAUUUGUGACAGCCCAUUCUUUUUACAGUUAAACUGUAUUAUAAAGAACUUUCAAGUGAGAUGAAGAAAGCGGUUUUCAUAGACAGGUGGUCUUUUAGUACGUGUUUCAAUAAAAAUAGAUAAUGCUGUCACUAUAGACAGGCCUUCCUUCUGUACAGGUGGUCGCUGAAGCGGGUUUCACUGUAAAUUGUAUUACUCUGUCGUACAUUACAAUGUAAAAUAGCCUAGUAAAUGGUUAAAGCGUGUAGGAAAUAAAAAAUCGAAUCAAUUGUAAUCAUAUAAGAUCAUAUCAAAUCAAAUUAUACAUAAAUCGAUUAGAGGAAAAAUGCAUUUAAUUAAAUCCAUGUGAUUUCUAUGUCCAACUCGAAUUUUAGUAUUGUCGUUUUCAGAACGUAAUAUUUUGUUUAUGAUGUACUCAUAUAAUCUCAAUUUAGAAAGUGUUUUAUUUGAGUUCUAUGCAGAAAGCUCAUUGAGUAAAGAAUCAC